CGUGUAGGCGGCCACGCAGGUCCGUUGUGAAAACUGGAGGCUCAACCUUCAGACGUCGACGGAAACCGUGUGGCUAGAGUCCGGAAGAGGAGAGUGGAAUUCCUGGUGUAGCGGUGAAAUGCGCAGAUAUCAGGAAGAACACCAAUGGCGAAGGCAGCUCUCUGGGACGGUACUGACGCUGAGACGCGAAAGCGUGGGGAGCGAACA
rnacentral:rRNA from 1 species